AGAGAGGGCUGCUGGGCGGUGACCAGGUCUCAGUGAGGGGCUGGACCCCUCGGCGGGCACUUGCAGCCAAGGCAUCACCAGCAGUCUCCUUCCGCCCCAAAACGCGCCCUAAAGUAGGGUGUGCGGACGCGGCUGCAGCAGAUCCCGGUCCCCCUGGCGCGCGCCGCGCCGCCGCCGAUGCAGCACGGUCGCAGCGACCUUCCCGCCCGGGGCUCCGUAAGCCCCGUUACCCACGUCGGCCACACACCCCACGAGAAAAAGGGAGGAGGACGCACAACAAAGCCUAACCCGAGGAGGCCCAAGCGAGCUGCUUCUCUCAUGGCGCAGUGGUUAAGAAUCUGCCUGCCAAUGCAGGGGACACGGAUUCGAGCCCUGGUCCGGGAAGAUCCCACAUGCCGCAGAGCAACUAAGACCGUGCACCACAACUACUGAGCCUGCGCUCUAGAGCCCGCGGGCCACAACUACUGAGCCCACACGCCUAGAGCCCGUGCUCCGCAACAAGAGAAGCCACCACAAUGAGAAGGCCGCACACCGCAGUGAAGAGUAGCCGUCGCUCACCACAACUAGAGAAAGCCCGCGCACAGCAAUGAAGACACAAUGCAGCCAAAAAUAAAUAAAUAAAAAAUAAAAAUAAAGCUUAUUUAAAAAAACUACUUAAUUGCUCAAAGAUUCUAACCAUCACCGGAGGCUUCGAUACCUUGGAGCCCCAUUCUCAUCUCUUUGGCCCACCUCUGUUUCAUCUGCUGAGAGUUCAGGUUCAUCUCCUGUUGACAAGGUCCCACCUCAAGCAGGUCAUUUCAGCUGUUCCGUGAGGAAAAUGGUCUCAGAGCUGUGAUUCCAUUAGGAAUGAGAGGAGGUAGGGAAUUCUUUCUAUUAUAGAAUGUGGCAGAAAAAUUUUAAGGAGUUCUUGGCUGCAUUAGAUUUCCUGUGGGUUGGGAAAUCAAGAAAUUAAUGGCUACAGUACUAAAAUAGACAGUGAUCAGUGCUUGUGAAUAGAAUUGCUUCAUUACUAAACCAACUCAGCCUUACUGUUGGUAGGUUAAGACAACUGUAACAUGUGACUACCAAAAGAAUCUUUCUUUUUGUUUUGAUUUUGA